rnacentral:sRNA from 1 species
AUACUGACAGCCCCAUACUGGGAGGCACCAGGGAGAUCAUUUGGUCUAGUCUUUAUCUUUUCUAGAGGAAGAAGUCAAGGCCCAGAGAGGGAUAGCCACUUGCCUAGGGUCACACAGCAAGCCUCCUGAGGGGUCCAGUGCUCCUGCCCCUGCCCUUCACUGUCAUAGGACCCUCAGGCAGACUGGCAGGGGCACUGAAGAUGAGCAGGGCAUGGGAGCCUGCUCAGGCAGCCCUCCUCCCCAUCCCAGGCCACGGACCUGCACCCUGCCGACAUCAACGGCAAAGCUGACCCCUACAUUGCCAUCCGGCUAGGCAAGACUGACAUCCGCGACAAGGAGAACUACAUCUCCAAGCAGCUCAACCCUGUCUUUGGGAAGUCCUUUGACAUCGAGGCUUCCUUCCCCAUGGAAUCCAUGCUGACGGUAGCUGUGUAUGACUGGGACCUGGUGGGCAGUGAUGACCUCAUUGGGGAAACCAAGAUCGACCUGGAGAACCGCUUCUACAGCAAGCACCGCGCCACCUGCGGCAUCGCCCAGACCUACUCCACACACGGCUACAAUAUCUGGCGGGACCCCAUGAAGCCCAGCCAGAUCCUGACCCGCCUCUGCAAAGACAGCAAAGUGGAUGGCCCUCACUUUGGGCCCCCUGGGAGAGUGAAGGUGGCCAACCGCGUCUUCACUGGGCCCUCUGAGAUUGAGGACGAGAACGGUCAGAGGAAGCCCACGGACGAGCACGUGGCGCUGUUGGCCCUGAGGCACUGGGAGGACAUCCCCCGCACAGGCUGCCGCCUGGUGCCAGAGCAUGUGGAGACGAGGCCGCUGCUCAACCCCGACAAGCCGGGCAUCGAGCAGGGCCGCCUGGAGCUGUGGGUGGACAUGUUCCCCAUGGACAUGCCAGCCCCUGGGACACCUCUGGAC